GUUUGAGUGGUAUAGUGGUUUGAAUGUUGGACUAUGGCUUUGGAGACCAGGGUUUGAUUCUCAGCUCAGCCA